UAAGAAGUAAGGACGGUUGUUUUAAU
rnacentral:piRNA from 1 species